GGAUUAGAUACCCUGGUAGUCCACGCAGUAAACGAUGAAUGCUAGUUGUCGGGAUCGCAAGAUUUCGGUGGCGAAGUUAACACGAUAAGCAUUCCGCCUGGGGACUACGGUCGCAAGACUAAAACUCAAAGGAAUUGACGGGGACCCGCACAAGCAGUGGAGCAUGUGGUUUAAUUCGAUGCAACGCGAAAAACCUUACCAGCUCUUGCAUCUGGGUGACCGGUACAGAGAUGUACUUUCGGAGCAAUCCGCACCCAAGACAGGUGUUGCAUGGCUGUCGUCAGCUCGUGCCG
rnacentral:rRNA from 1 species